GUGCCAGCCGCGGCGGUAAUACGUAGGUGGCAAGCGUUGUCCGGAAUCAUUGGGCGUAAAGGGCGCGCAGGCGGUUCGGUAAGUCGGUCUUAAAAGUGCGGGGCUUAACCCCGUGAUGGGAUUGAAACUGCCGGACCGGAGUGUCGGAGAGGAAAGCAGAAUUCCUAGUGUAGCGGUGAAAUGCGUAGAUAUUAGGAGGAAUACCAGUGGCGAAAGCGGCUUUCUGGACGACAACUGACGCUGAGGCGCGAAAGCCAGGGGAGCAAACGGGAUUAGGUACCCCGGUAGUCCUGGCCGUAAACGAUGGAUACUAGGUGUAGGAGGUAUCGACCCCUUCUGUGCCGGAGUUAACGCAAUAAGUAUCCCGCCUGGGGAGUACGGCCGCAAGGUUGAAACUCAAAGGAAUUGACGGGGCCCGCACAAGCGGUGGAGUAUGUGGUUUAAUUCGACGCAACGCGAAGAACCUUACCAAGCCUUGACAUUGAGUGCCAGGGAUAGAGAUAUCCUGUUCUUCUUCGGAAGACGCGAAAACAGGUGGUGCACGGCUGUCGUCAGCUCGUG
rnacentral:rRNA from 1 species